rnacentral:lncRNA from 1 species
UUCUAAAUAUUACUGACCCUUGGAUUUGUGCCCAGCUUUGAAACCUGCUUCUGUCUCUUUAGACUUGUUGCCUAAUUGUGAUUUCCCUGACACUUCUCAUCUCUUCUCGGAGGACAUUGUUUGACUCAUCUCUGUAGAUCUUCUUUGUGGAUGGCUGAGAUCAAGCUUGUUCAGCCUACUCAGUCUGACUCCUGCCUUGACCAGGUUG